ACUCUGAACUUCAGUGUAUAACUGAAGGAAACGGGAUUUGUGAAUUGGUUGUUCACGGCCAAGGGUUCGAAGGUUAGAAAAGGAAAAUUGUCUCGCGAUUUUAAUUGUUAGAAGCAGCCAACGCUAGCGCUUUGAUCUUUGGACGAACAAAUUUCAUGUGUGAAUCGCGAAUCUAGAAAGAGCUGCAUCCAGCAGAAAAAGCUGCUUUACAACUGUUAUAAAUUUUUAUGAAUCUGAUUGGCGUAUACUUGUCACGUCAUUGUCCAUCUAGAUUUUCAUCGUGAUCGAUGAUUAGUUCAUCUAAUAAGGACAAAACUAAAGAUAUCGGUAGUGAAUAUUUACUUUCAGCGUGUGAUGCUCUCUAUCGUAGCAAAGCAAAAUGUUUUAUCAUCAAAGUGUUAUCAGAUGCGUCUAUCAUUGUCCAUUUAUAAUAGUGAAGAAAGAACUUCUAUUUCCAAAUAUAUUUUCCUCAUUCUCUUAACUCUCCACUUGCGUUUGUCAGAAAUUAAUUGUUGCAUCAAGUUACAAUACCCUGCCAAAGUUCAGCGUUGCGUUACCUCGUAAUUCGCGCUUAUCUACCGGCAUUCAUCUAUUUAGCCGGUACGAACGUGAUAAUAAUUUUCGCGCGCGCUAACGAGCGCGAUUGCGCGUCGGAAAAGUCAUCGGAGCGUGUUGCUGACGUAUCGCGCGGAUAUUUCCUCGACGAAGGAGACCGUCGGCGACAGGUGUGCCAGGCUUGAAAAGUCGCCUGUCGUUUCCUCCGCGACCACGCGGUCACGUCCUUGCGUUUACGUAAGCACCGCGCGACUGACGCAAAAACCAUCGUCCCAUUCCUCUCGGCGAGUCGCCGCCCUUUUCGCUGCGCAAAACGUCUUCAUCGGGAGCGGUUUUCAAUCCUUGAAGAGGAUCGAGACCGAAAAAUGUACCGCGCGUAAUGUGUGAGUAGAUAAGACACAUGGGACGAACAAUGGUCGCUUUCACCGAAAACCGCGACACUCGCGAAGGAAUGGAUUUUCAGAGAAACAGAACAGACGAGAGGUCUUUGCCCGUCGCUGUUGCUGCCCUUCUCGCACAAUUUGUGUUCUACGUCUCGCUCUUUGCCUGCCUUUUUGCAAUUUCAUACUCCGAGAGAAAAUGGAAGAGGAGAGACUCAUUUCAUGACGGUAACGGUUUGCUGGUGGCAAACGCACCGAUGACGACAAGACGACACUUGCGUCGCGCUCGUGUCAUUAUGUCGCUCGCUGGCCUGAAAACCCUUUUGGCGUGUCGGCAUGUUUAGCGUUAGAAAAUUCGCGCCGAAAUCAUGUAUUACUUUUCGACAAGAAAAUCGAUCCUGAAUGCUAUUCAUAUAAACGGCUCUCAAUGGAGCCUCGACCUUACAAAAACCGUUCGAAGGAAACGUUUGUUUUUCGUUUCGUUUUAAAUUGUAAUUACUUAAUUUUAAGACAUCGUUCACCCAAUAAAUGAUAAAUUUUGACAUG